CUGGGUGGGAGCGGGAGGGCUUGGCCUCCAUCUGGGGGAAGCCCCCUGCCCACCAAGGGGCCUGCCCAUGUGAGGGUCUCAGAAGGCCAUCCUCGAGCCUUUCCUGAGCCCCCCAUGUGCCAGGGACUUGAAGGCACAUCUCCUCAAGAUGAAGAGUGGGUGAUGCCCCUGGGCACACAGCUGCCAGGCACGGGGCCAGGAUUCGAACCCAGGCUUCUCCUAGGUCUGUGAGCAGGGGUUUGGCAAACUAAGGACCCACAGGUUUCCUGGGAGGCCCCUCGGGCAGGUAAGAAAACUGAGGCCUGAAAAGCGGAAGUGACUGACACACAGUCAGCCUGUGGCAGAACCCAGACGGCUUCACCACCAGCCCUGGGCUUUGCUUUACCCACCCUCUCUCCUAGGCCAAAUGCUCUGUGGUUUGCAAAAACUCUCGAGAGCAGCCCAGCUGGGCAACAACCAAAAAAGCCGGUGGAGGAGAGUGACCUGGAAUUGUGAAAGGGGUGUGUGUGAAGGGAGAGUGAGAUGGACCAAGAGGGCCGGAGACCCUCCUGACUCCACGCCAACAGAAGUGAGGAGAGCUCAACCGUCACCAAGACAUGUCAUGCGUCUUUCCUCUUUGAGACUCACCGAGACCAGCAGAGCUCACCCUCAGGUUCCUGAGUCCCUGCGGAGGGCCAGGCAGCCCUCUUCACGCAGAACACAUGAGGAUAAGAACAUCAGGAAGUCGGCCACCUGGGAGGCUGUCUCCACAUGAGCUUCAUGAGGUAUUACUUCAAUCUUUGAGAAGAGGAAACUGAGGAUCAGACAGACAAAAUUACCACCUCAAGGUCACAGACUGUAGACUCAUGGGAGACAAAGAAAUCCAAGCCUCUUGUUUUGCCUGCUUUGUUCUCAGCCUCUGCAAAGGUUCAGUAAAACCCUAACUGUCUCAAAAGCUGUUAACUUUCCAUGAUGUAAGAACCACUCCACCUACACACAAUUGAUGGGCCUUCAAUCCAUUUCCAGCAAGGAAUUCAGUUCAAGAUCAGGUAAAGGGACUACUCCGGUGGUCCAGUGGUUAAGAAUCUACUUCUCAAUGCAGGGGACAGGGGUUUGAUCCCUGGCUGAGGAACUAAGAUCCCAUAAGCCACAGGGCAAAUAAGCCUGCACGCCUCAACUACUGACCCCUUGUGCUGCAACUAGAGAAGUCUACGCACCCCAACGAAAGCUUCUGCAUGCCGCAACUAAGACCCAACACAGCCAAAUAAAUACACAAAUACUGAAAAAGGUCGGGUUAGGGCUAGGGAGCCUGGUCUGACUGCAGAGCCACACUACUCAGUCGCACGCACCUCCAGCAUGCCAUCUCUAGUGGGCCCGCGAUGACUACAGCCUCGGAAGAGGGUUCGGGAAGACUCCAUCACAGCUGCUAAGGCAAAAUCAGGUUCUGCACUUGAACUCUCCAGUCUCAGCUCCUUUCCCCUACGUUUCUUCUCAGACCACAGGGGCUGCUAGUGACCGUCCCUCACCCUUGGGAGGGGACCCUGAGAAGUCCCCUUUCCAUCUACCCUGAGGCUCCACUUCCAGUGCCCCUGGCCGAGCCCAUCCUGUCAUUGCCAACCAAGUUUCACUGGUGGUUUUCUGCCAAAGCUGCUCUUGGAGCAGACAGUAGAGAAGGGGAGGGGGCAUCUCCAGGCAAAGGUGGCAGGUACUUCAGUGAGCUAGGGCCUCCUGAACUCACUGCUGGAAGAGGUCCCCAGUGUGAUGCAAAGAGUGAGCUAGGGACAGCAGGCCAGCCUGGGCCAACCUUGGUGUCAGGACACAGAAGGGCGGGGUGCAGACAGGGGAAGGAGCGGGGACCUCAGGACAGGGAGGCCUUCCCCAGCACCCUGCUUCAGAAAGCGAGGAGGAGACGUUUAUCAUCUGCUGGAUUCCAGUACCGGCCCUUCGGGCUCGCAACAGCACCUGAGAGCCCAGAGAGUGCAAAUGACGAGAACCAGGCAGACAGUGGCAGUCAGGCCUUUUGAGGACGCUGUCAUGGGCACCCAGGAAGGUGAAUUUUCUGAUUUUUCAAAAGAAGUUGGACAUCACGAUGCACGUGGGAUGUCUUUGAUAAACCCUCUCACAAGACAAAAACAAAACAGAAAGAAAGA